GGAAUUUUGGACAAUGGGCGCAAGCCUGAUCCAGCAAUGCCGCGUGAGUGAAGAAGGCCUUCGGGUUGUAAAGCUCUUUUGUCAGGGAAGAAACGGGCCUUUCUAAUACAGGGGCCUAAUGACGGUACCUGAAGAAUAAGCACCGGCUAACUACGUGCCAGCAGCCGCGGUAAUACGUAGGGUGCAAGCGUUAAUCGGAAUUACUGGGCGUAAAGCGUGCGCAGGCGGUUUUGUAAGACUGUCGUGAAAUCCCCGGGCUCAACCUGGGAAUGGCGAUGGUGACUGCAAGGCUAGAGUUUGGCAGAGGGGGGUAGAAUUCCACGUGUAGCAGUGAAAUGCGUAGAUAUGUGGAGGAACACCGAUGGCGAAGGCAGCCCCCUGGGUCAAAACUGACGCUCAUGCACGAAAGCGUGGGGAGCAAACAGGAUUAGAUACCCUAG
rnacentral:rRNA from 1 species